rnacentral:rRNA from 1 species
GACGAACGCUGGCGGCGUGCUUAACACAUGCAAGUCGAACGGAAAGGCCCUGCUUUUGUGGGGUGCUCGAGUGGCGAACGGGUGAGUAACACGUGAGUAACCUGCCCUUGACUUUGGGAUAACUUCAGGAAACUGGGGCUAAUACCGGAUAGGAGCUCCUGCUGCAUGGUGGGGGUUGGAAAGUUUCGGCGGUCGGGGAUGGACUCGCGGCUUAUCAGCUUGUUGGUGGGGUAGUGGCUUACCAAGGCUGUGACGGGUAGCCGGCCUGAGAGGGUGACCGGCCACAUUGGGACUGAGAUACGGCCCAGACUCCUACGGGCGGCAGCAGUGGGGAAUAUUGCACACUGGGCGGAAGCCUGACGCAGCAACGCCGCGUGCGGGAUGACGGCCUUCGGGUUGUAAACCGCUUUCGCCUGUGACGAAGCGUAAGUGACGGUAAUGGAUAAAGAAGCACCGGCUAACUACGUG